CUUUUUCACAUUCCAAUCUUCAAUUCUGUAAUUGUCUGAAAUUUUUCUAAAAUACAAUGGCGAAAAUUGAGAAACUGAGAUUCAUAACAGAAGUUGCCCCCCCGAAGUUCAUCUCAAUAACACGGCGUCCUGUCAUCAAAAUGUUGGAUACAAUCGAUGAGGAAAAGGCUUAUGCAUCAACCCUUUCGUCAUCUUUCGGCAAAGCUCUCGACCGGGAUAGAUACCCGCCAAGUCUCUCCUUUCGAGUGAGAAAUUUUUGAAAAAGAUUAUGAAUAAAGCACAGAUCAAAUUCUCUUUGAGAUGUGCUACUUAGCAUAACCAUAUAGGAUAAAUAAAUAAAGAGCACGAUAAAUAAAUAAAGAGCACGAGGAUUAGCAUGAUCUCUUUUCUAUUUCUUUGCAAUUUUGUAUAAUUUUCUGGAGAAAAAUUGUCACACAUUCUCUUCACCACCAUCUUUUAUAAGGGGUGAAUGAGCAUUUCUGUUGAUUAUUCUUACUAGUUUUGUUGCAAUUAUGCAAGCAGUGAAAUUUCCAGUAAUUUCCACUAAGUACCCGUGGCAAUUGCCGAAGGAGUCAGCAAGUGAACCAACAACAUGAUAAAUCUGGAAAGAAGGGUGACAUUGGACUAAUUUCUUGAGCAACUCAAUAUAUAAAUAUCUAUGUUUUGUUUCUUGUUUCAUUUAGAU
rnacentral:lncRNA from 1 species